rnacentral:lncRNA from 1 species
GGGCCUUGUGGGUAUUGACAAGGCAACUGAUAUGAGUGAGAUUAAGUCAAUAUGAGAGAGGGCCACUUGGAGAUGGCUAAUUUCUUUGUAAGACAAUCUCAGGUGGAAGAACAACAUGAGAAAUUAGUUGCAGCUUUAGGGAAACCUUGGAAGGAUAAAAAAAGGUUCGAUAGGGGAAAGAGGGUUGAUAAACUCGAUGG